UACGGGGGGGGCAAGCGUUGUUCGGAAUUACUGGGCGUAAAGGGCUCGUAGGUGGCCAACUAAGUCAGACGUGAAAUCCCUCAGCUUAACUGGGGAACUGCGUCUGAUACUGGAUGGCUUGAGUUUGGGAGAGGGAUGCGGAAUUCCAGGUGUAGCGGUGAAAUGCGUAGAUAUUCGCAAGAACACCAGUGGCGAAGGCGGCUCACUGGCCCGGUACUGACGCUGAGGUGCGAAAGCGUGGGGAGCAAACAGG
rnacentral:rRNA from 1 species